rnacentral:rRNA from 1 species
AGAGUUUGAUCAUGGCUCAGGACGAACGCUGGCGGCGUGCUUAACACAUGCAAGUCGAGCGGAAAGGCUCCUUCGGGGGUACUCGAGCGGCGAACGGGUGAGUAACACGUGAGUAAUCUGCCCUUCACUUCGGGAUAACUGCCUGAAAGGGUGGCUAAUACCGGGUAUUCUCCUUGCACCGCAUGGUGUGGGGUGGGAAGUUUUUUCGGUGGGGGAUGUGCUCGCGGCCUAUCAGCUUGUUGGUGGGGUAAUGGCCUACCAAGGCUUUGACGGGUAGCCGGCCUGAGAGGGUGACCGGCCACACUGGGACUGAGACACGGCCCAGACUCCUACGGGAGGCAGCAGUGGGGAAUAUUGGACAAUGGGCGGAAGCCUGAUCCAGCAACGCCGCGUGAGGGAUGACGGCCUUCGGGUUGUAAACCUCUUCAGCACGGACGAAGCGCCUGUGAAGGUGGUGACGGUAUGUGCAGAAGAAGCACCGGCCAACUACGUGCCAGCAGCCGCGGUA